UGUGGAACCUAGAGCCUCACUCAUGCUAGCCAAGUGCUCUCCCACGGAGCCACACCCUUGCCUUCUGUCUGUGUGCACGUACCAGAACCUUUCAACACUCCCUUCCUCAUGUGACCAUGGAGUCAUGGAUGAUGACUCUCUGAAUCUUUCGAACUCUUUUCUGUUUAUUUUAUUGUACAUGUUUGCAGUAGAUGCAGUUUACAUUCAUCUUGAGAGGUAUAUCAGUUUUCCUACAAAUGCCUCAAAUUUACCCUUCUUUAUAGCCAAAAGUAUUCCAUUAUAUAUAGAUACCGCAUUCUUUAUCAAGUCAUCUGUUGAUCAACUCAUCUCUUCCUCGGCAAAUUCGCACACUUCAAGCUUUCCCUGGCGUGGCCUACACGACGGAGGAUACCCUCUUCUCACUAGCUGGUAAUCCAGCCCUUACUGCUGACCACAAUAAGGCCUGGCCAACAAGUCCCAUGAGGAACAGGACAUCCACCUGUUAGGGCAGAGCCCCACCCUCUUAAUUACCCCCAAACCUCACCUCCUCAUAGGUCCCACAGGAUUAGGGUUUCAACCUUGGAGCACUCUGUGGGCUAAGUGCGUGUCAAGGGAGGAGGGACGAAGCCCAGGG
rnacentral:lncRNA from 1 species